GGUUGAAGUAGAUGAUAAAGUUGUUGUAGGAGCUGCAGUUGUCGUGGGAGCUACAGUUGUUGUAGGUGUAGUUGUUGUGGUUGUCGUAGGAGCUGAAGUUGUAGUUGUUGUAGCAGGAGCUGCAGUGGUUGUCGUAAUAGGUUCUGGAGUUGUAGUGGUCGUUUGAGCAGCAGUUGUUGUAGUUAGAGCUGCAGUGGUUGUCGUAGAGGCAGCUGCUGUGGUUGAAGUAGAUGAUAAAGUUGUUGUAGGAGCUGCAGUUGUCGUGGGAGCUACAGUUGUUGUAGGUGCUGUUGUUGUGGUUGUCGUAGGAGCUGAAGUUGUAGUUGUUGUAGCAGGAGCUGCAGUGGUUGUCGUAAUAGGUUCUGGAGUUGUAGUGGUCGUUUGAGCAGCAGUUGUUGUAGUUAGAGCUGCAGUGGUUGUCGUAGAGGCAGCUGCUGUGGUUGAAGUAGAUGAUAAAGUUGUUGUAGGAGCUGCAGCUGCCGUGGGAGCUACAGUUGUUGUAGGUGUAGUUGUUGUGGUUGUCGUAGGAGCUGAAGUUGUAGUUGUUGUAGCAGGAGCUGCAGUGGUUGUCGUAAUAGGUUCUGGAGUUGUAGUGGUCGUUUGAGCAGCAGUUGUUGUAGUUAGAGCUGCAGUGGUUGUCGUAGAGGCAGCUGCUGUGGUUGAAGUAGAUGAUAAAGUUGUUGUAGGAGCUGCAGUUG